AGAUCAGGUCACACUGAAACACACUCAAACGAAGCGAAGCGUUGGUAAAAAAGUGACAAUAAUGUCUGCCGAUAACACUUCCUUUUCAUCAGCGAGCGAGACCGGUCGUGUUUUUUCUUAACAGUCUGAAAGGUGACUUUUUCCAAGCAACAAAGGCUUAAUUAAAAGUUAUUGUAAAAAUUGGAUCAUUGUUUAUUUCAUACAAAUCUUCAUCAAUAUAUAAAUUAUUCCUCUUUUCAUUUCCCAAAGGAGAGUAUCUGAUCAAUGUGGCUACAGUGCUACGAUCAAAAUUCCGAUCAUCCUUGAGAUGAUUUAAAACAAAAAAAAAA